rnacentral:misc_RNA from 1 species
GUGAAUCAUCGAAUCUUUGAACGCAAAUUGCACUUCCUGGUAUCCCGGGGAGUAUGCCUGUUUGAGGGUCAGUAGUAAAAAAAAAUCGGGUGGGUUUCAUAUUGUGAGGGUUCCGGAGUUGGGGCUUAGCUUAACUUUUUUGGUUAAUGGACUUAAAAUUGACCUUUUUUUCGCAUUUUUGGACGGACUAAGAUUUUUUUUUAUUCAUC